rnacentral:lncRNA from 1 species
GUAGUUUGGGUUAUUGUAGAGUUGUAACCUCAAAUUUAGUUUGUUGUCUUGUCAUCAAGUUUUUUUAAUCUUAAUAUAAUCUUUAUUCCGUGUCACUUUGACCCGUUCUAUUUGACUUUCCACAUAUACAUCUCUUUUCAAUUCAAUUUUUGUGACAUGAUAUGCUAAAGGAUUUGGUAAGAUCUUAAGAUUAUAUCUAGCCAUGGAAGGAAUACACCAUAGAAGUCAAAAAAGAAAUACAUUCGAGGAAAUGAAUAAAGGACUUAAACACCUUGAUACGUCCUUUAGUAUUGAAAAUGGUUAAAAAAAUAAAUUUCAUUUAAAUUGACAUAUGUCAUUUGUUG